rnacentral:sRNA from 1 species
GGGAUUACAGGCGUGAGCCAUCACGCCUAGCCAAGAUGCUUAUUUCUAAUUAGCUUUAGUAAUUACUUAGGCUUAAUUUGGGAGUAGCACUGCAUAUUUUGGCUGAGGGAUAUUCUUUUAAACCUGAUAUGCUGAAGAUUAUUUGCUUUUAUAAUAGAGAACGGAGACCAACCUGGGCUGAAGAAAGAAGAUUAAAUGCUGAAACAUUUGGAAUCCCACUUCGUCCAAACCGUGGCCGUGGGGGAUACAGAGGCAGAGGAGGUCUUGGUUUCCGUGGUGGCAGAGGGCGUGGUGGUGGCAGAGGUGGUACCUUCACUGCCCCUCGAGGAUUUCGCGGUGGAUUCAGAGGAGGUCGUGGGGGCCGGGAGUUUGCAGAUUUUGAAUAUAGGAAAACCACAGCUUUUGGACCCUAAAAGGUCUGGAUUGAUCGUACUGCUUUCUGAAAGAAAGACAACAAAGUUGCUGCAUAGUCUACAAACAAGUCUCUGAAAAUAGGUGAAUUUCUAGCUCUUCAUGGUCCUGAACAUUGAUUUCAGUCUUUGCAAAGAAUGAAGAAGUGAAUUCGCUGUACAUUUGUCACCAGCACUGGGUUUUUGUUUUUUGUUUGUUUUCCCGCUUAAUUUCAAAGAUAAAAUGCAGUUACUUUUGGGGGUGGAAGGCUCAUCUUAAAACAUGAGCAUUAAAUAUAUUUGGAAUAGC